GGCCUUUUGUCCCCUGGGCUGUGGGGAUCACGUUCCUCCUCAGCCAGGGAUGGAGGCCAAGAUCAGUCUGUGAGGAGCAUCUUCGUCAAGACUGCCGUGAGUGGGCAGCCUUGUUUUCCUGCCUCAGACAUUG
ensembl:scaRNA predicted gene, 25492